ACUCCUACGGGAGGCAGCAGUAGGGAAUCUUCCACAAUGGACGAAAAGUCUGGUGGAGCAACGCCGCGUGAGUGAAGAAGGGUUUCGGCUCGUAAAACUCUGUUGUUAAAGAAAGAACAUAUCUGAGAGUAACUGUUCAGGUAUUGACGGUAUUUAACCAGAAAGCCACGGCUAACUACGUGCCAGCAGCCGCGGUAAUACGUAGGUGGCAAGCGUUGUCCGGAUUUAUUGGGCGUAAAGCGAGCGCAGGCGGUUUUUAAGUCUGAUGUGAAAGCCUUCGGCUCAACCGAAGAAGUGCAUACGGAAACGUAGGGAACUUGAGUGCAGAAGAGGACAGUGAACUCAUGUGUAGCGGUAGAAAUGCGUAGAUAUAGUAGGAACGAACACCGAGUGGACGGAAGGCGGCUGUCUGGUCUGUAACUGACGCU
rnacentral:rRNA from 1 species